rnacentral:tRNA from 1 species
UCCCGUGUGGCUCAGUUGGUAGAGCAUGGUGUUUGCAACGCCAGGGUUGUGGGUUCGAAUCCCACGGGGGAG